AACGAACGCUGGCGGCAGGCCUAACACAUGCAAGUCGAGCGAGGACUUCGGUUCUAGCGGCGGACGGGUGAGUAACGCGUGGGAAUGUGCCCUUCUCUACGGAAUAGCCCUGGGAAACUGGGAGUAAUACCGUAUACGCCCUUUUGGGGAAAGAUUUAUCGGAGAAGGAUCAGCCCGCGUUGGAUUAGGUAGUUGGUGGGGUAAUGGCCUACCAAGCCGACGAUCCAUAGCUGGUUUGAGAGGAUGAUCAGCCACACUGGGACUGAGACACGGCCCAGACUCCUACGGGAGGCAGCAGUGGGGAAUCUUAGACAAUGGGGGCAACCCUGAUCUAGCCAGGCCGCGUGAGUGAUGAAGGCCUUAGGGUUGUAAAGCUCUUUCAGCUGGGAAGAUAAGGACGGUACCAGCAGAAGAAGCCCCGGCGAACUCCGU
rnacentral:rRNA from 1 species